UCUUCCUGAGCUCUGUGGAGCAGAUGGGAAGUUGGCUCUGCAGCCAGGAAGUGUGCCCAGCCGGUGAGGGUCUGAGAGGUUUGCUUCUCCGACCACUGUCCCGACCCCUGUGGCAGGCGAGCCUGCUCAUGGGAAACCUCAGAGAACCAUCGGGGCCCAGCCCAUCCUGUGCUGAGGAGCCUUAUUGGGAGUGCGAAGAAGGGGAGGCGUUCCUGCCACGUGAAAGCCCCACCUGCCCUGGAAAUUCUGGCACUUAAACCGUAGCCCCCAGUACCUUCCCUGGCUGAGAAUCACAGUCCUAAAGCCAAGUACAGCCUCGAGGGUUCCAGGGGUGAGCUGAGGCUGUGCUUGGUAGGAUGGUUUUGGGGGGAAAGCAUAGCUUGGGAUAGGGGGGUGCAGCCCCAUGCACAGUAUCAGGGACCCUUUAGCCAACGUGGAGACCCUCCUGCGGGAGCACGGGGUGCUGGAGCGGGGCCUGGAGGCACCGGCGGGAAGGAUCAGCACUCGAGAAGCCUGGCCCACAGCCUGCACCGGGGUGGACACCCCGAGGCCCAGGGCACCCUCAGCCGGUGCCGGGUCACGCUCCUCAGCAGGUGGAUGCCCCAAACCAGCGUCCUCCCCACAUGGACCCACCUCACCCGCUGCAGAGCCCCCAUCUCUGCCUUUCUCACGUGUUGUGCCCUGAAGACACUCUCCCCACAGGAUGCCCCUGAGGCCCGACCACAUCAUCAGUAAUAUCGCGUUUCACUGAGCAGCUGCCACAUCUGGGACAUGUUCUGUGCCUGGGGGGUCAUGAG